rnacentral:rRNA from 1 species
UACGGAGGAUCCAAGCGUUAUCCGGAAUCAUUGGGUUUAAAGGGUCCGUAGGCGGUUUAAUAAGUCAGUUGGUGAAAUCUGGUCGCUCAACGAUCAAACGGCCAUUGAUACUGUUAGACUUGAAUUAUUGGGAAGUAACUAGAAUAUGUAGUGUAGCGGUGAAAUGCUUAGAUAUUACAUGGAAUACCAAUUGCGAAGGCAGGUUACUACCAAUAUAUUGACGCUGAUGGACGAAAGCGUGGGGAGCGAACAGG